rnacentral:rRNA from 1 species
CAGCCGCCGCGGUAAAACGUAGGUGGCAAGCGUUGUCCGGAAUUAUUGGGCGUAAAGGGCUCGCAGGCGGUUUCUUAAGUCUGAUGUGAAAGCCCCCGGCUCAACCGGGGAGGGUCAUUGGAAACUGGGAAACUUGAGUGCAGAAGAGGAGAGUGGAAUUCCACGUGCAGCGGUGAAAUGCGUAGAGAUGUGGAGGAACACCAGUGGCGAAGGCGACUCUCUGGUCUGUAACUGACGCUGAGGAGCGAAAGCGUGGGGAGCGAACAGGAUUAGAUACCCCAGUAGUCCCUGUCUCUUAUAC